UACGUAGGGGGCGAGCGUUGUCCGGAAUUAUUGGGCGUAAAGGGCGUGUAGGCGGUCUGGUAAGUCGGGGGUGAAACCCCGGGGCUCAACCCCGGGACUGCCUCCGAUACUGCUGGACUUGAGUGCUCUAGAGGGCAGUGGAAUUGCCGGUGUAGCAGUGAAAUGCGUAGAGAUCGGCAGGAACACCAGUGGCGAAGGCGACUGCCUGGGGAGCAACUGACGCUGAGGCGCGAAAGCUAGGGGAGCAAACAGG
rnacentral:misc_RNA from 1 species